rnacentral:rRNA from 1 species
AUUGAACGCUAGCGGGAUGCUUUACACAUGCAAGUCGAACGAGUGGCGGACGGGUGAGUAAUAUAUCGGAACGUGCCCAGUAGCGGGGUAAACUACUCGAAAGAUUGGCUAAUACCGCUUACUUUGGGAGCGGCCCAUAGGGGAUUGGUUAGUUGGGGGGGUAAAGGCUAACCAAGGCAACGAUCCGUAGCGGGUUUGAGAGGACGACCAGCCACACUGGGACUGAGACACGGCCCAGACUCCUACGGGAGGCAGCAGUGGGGAAUUUUGGACAAUGGGGGAAAGCCUGAUGCAGCCAUCCCGCGUGUAUGAGAAGGCCUUCGGGUUGUAAAGUACUUUUGGCAGAGAAGCGGUAUCUGCAGAAUAAGCACCGGCUAACUACGUGCCAGCAGCCGCGGUAAUUC